CCUACGGGAGGCAGCAGUGAGGAAUAUUGGUCAAUGGACGCAAGUCUGAACCAGCCAUGUCGCGUGCAGGAAGACUGCUCUAUGAGUUGUAAACUUCUUUUGUACGAGGGUAAACUCAGAUACGCGUAUCUUUCUGAAAGUAUUUUAUGAAUAAGGAUCGGCUAACUCCGUGCCAGCAGCCGCGGUAAUACGGAGGAUUCAAGCGUUAUCCGGAUUUAUUGGGUUUAAAGGGUGCGUAGACGGUCGGAUAAGUUAGAGGUGAAAUCUCGAGGCUCAACCUCGGAAUUGCAUUUGAUACUGUCCGGCUAGAGAGUAGUUGCGGUAGGCGGAAUGUGUGGUGUAGCGGUGAAAUGCUUAGAGAUCAUACAGAACACCGAUUGCGAAGGCAGCUUACCAAGCUACUUCUGACGUUGAGGCACGAAAGCGUGGGGAGCAAACAGGAUUAGAUACCCCUGUAGUC
rnacentral:rRNA from 1 species